CUUUGAAAGGCUGAGUUCAAGGUUAUAGUUCUGAGAAGAACCUCCUGCCAUUACAUUAUUGAACUGUGUCAUAGAUACGGCUCAUUUUUCACUCAUCCAAUUUACCUUAAAGCAGAAAUGACAGACCUGGACUGAUUAUAGCUACCUGGAAUUUCUACAUUGCUCUCCAACAUCAGAGUACCAGGAUGCUCUCCCCUGUGGGAUUACCUUGCCAGUGGUCACUUUUUCCCAGCCAGCCUGAGCAGUAACAUCUUUGCAACAAGGCUCCUUUUUGUGCUGGGGAGGAGGACACAGAUGCUGCCUGGAUGUACUGGUGGACAGUUCACACCUGCCUCACUGAUUACUGUCUGGGGGAUUAUCCUAACCCUGCUCCAGUGGUCUUCGGUGCUGUUUUGAACUCAGGAUGGAGUUGAAGAAAAUUAGGAAGGUCUGUGAGUCCCGAUCUUCAUGCAGCAUGGAGCAGUACGAGCUGGAGCCUCCUCUGGCUGAUCAUCAGGCUGUAGUCAACCACCGUGUUGUUAGUUGGAAACUGGCCAGGUUUGCAGCUGAGGCGUCAACACAAGCUGUCUGUGAGCAAGAAUCAGCACCAAUCUCUGAGAUUAUAAAGAAAGCUGAAUAUCAAAUUUCAUCACAAAUACAUACAUGUUAUUGCUGCUCACCUGGAGCUUCCUACAGGCAGAAAGAAGCAUUUCCAGGGAAUGACGGAUUUCACUUAUCUUCGACAGCUGUUUUGAAAUGGACACAGAGAUACUUAAGAGAACACGUUUAGACUAGACUCCCGCUUACAGAUGAUUAAAAUUAGAUGAGAUCCAUUCCUUAUGAGGGUUCUCAAAUUUUAGUUCUUUCUUCAAAUCUUUUGUGGACAGCUCAAACAAUUUCCUACAAGUUUUCCUUCCUCUAUGUGUUAAGGAAAAAUUUCACUGUUCUAGCUUAGUGGAGACUCAAGCAG
ensembl:lncRNA